rnacentral:rRNA from 1 species
UCAAUAUAAAUUGAUUAAAUUUUAUUUAUUAAUUAUAUUUAUAAAAUUUUAUAUUUAUUAAAAAUAAUUAUAUAAAGUGUUGUUUUAGUAUUUUUUAAAGAAAAAAUAGUAAUUAUAAUAGUUUAAUAGUAUUGUGAAAGAAAAUUGAAAUAUUUGAAAAAUUUUUAUUUAAAAAGAAAAUUUUAUUUAUUGUACCUUGUGUAUCAGGGUUUAUUAAUUAAAAAUUAUUUAUUAUAAUUUUCUCGAUUUUAAAAGAGUUAAUAUAUUAUAAAAGUUAAUGUAACAAAAUUAUUUUUCAUAAUAUAUUAGAAAUGAAAUGUUAUUCGUUUUUAAAAAUAUCUAGUUCUUUAAGAAAUAAAUUUAAUUUAAAAAUUUUAUAUUAUCUAAUUAAGUAUAUUAAUUAUGUAAGUAUUUAAUUUAAAUAUUUUAUGGGAUAAGCUAUAAAAUAAAUUUUUAUAAAUUAAUAAAUUAGUUAAUAAAUAUAAACUUAGAAAUAGUUAUUAUUAAUGAAAAUGUUAUAAUUUAUUUUAUUAUUAUAAUUAUUUAUUUUAAUUUUAAUUUUUUUUUAUUAAAGUAUUUAUUUUAAUUAUAUAAAUAAAAAAAUAAUGAUUAAAUUAAUAUAUAUAUAUAUAUAUAUAAAGAUGUAUAUUUAUAUAGGUUUAUAUAAUUAUAUUUAGAUUGUAUAAGUAAAUAAUAAUAGUGAAAAGUUUUUUUAAAGAAUUCGGCAAAAUAAUAUUCGCCUGUUUAACAAAAACAUGUCUUUUUUAUAUAUUUAAAAAGUUUAACCUGCCCACUGAUUUUUUAAAUGGCCGCAGUAUUUUAACUGUGCAAAGGUAGCAUAAUAAUUAGUCUUUUAAUUGAAGGCUUGUAUGAAUGGUUGGACGAGAUAUUAACUGUUUCAAAAAUAUUUUUAAUAAAAUUUUAUUUUUUAGUCAAAAAGCUAAAAUUUUUUUAAAAGACGAGAAGACCCUAUAAAUCUUUAUAUUUUUAUUUAUUAUAAUUUUUAUUGAUUUAUUAAAUUAUAUUAUAUAAAAUUAUUAUAUUGGGGUGAUAUUAAAAUUUAAUUAACUUUUAAUUUUAUAUUAUCAUUAAUUUAUGAAAAUUUGAUCCAUUAUUAAUGAUUAAAAAUUUAAGUUACUUUAGGGAUAACAGCGUAAUUUUUUUGGAGAGUUCAUAUUAAUAAAAAAGAUUGCGACCUCGAUGUUGGAUUAAGAUAUAAUUUUAGGUGCAGUUGCUUAAAUUUUAAGUCUGUUCGACUUUUAAAUUCUUACAUGAUCUGAGUUCAAACCGGUUUAAGCCAGGUUGGUUUCUAUCUUUAGAAAAUUAAAAUAUUUCAGUACGAAAGGACCUAAUAUUUAAUAAAUUAUUAUUUUUAAUUUGAAUAUAAAUAAUAUAACUAUUUUGGCAGAUUAAU